AAACCCUCAAGCUCCGCUUGGUGUUGGGCGUUUUGUCUACGGACUCGCCCCAAAUCUAUUGGCAGCAGCCUCACCGGCUUCUUGCGCAGUACAAUGCGCUUUAAGAAGCUUGUGUAGUGGUAUGCAAUCCAGUAAGCAAUUCUUUA
rnacentral:misc_RNA from 1 species